rnacentral:rRNA from 1 species
GAUGAACGCUGGCGGCGUGCCUAAUACAUGCAAGUCGAACGCUGAAGGAGGAGCUUGCUCUUCUGGAUGAGUUGCGAACGGGUGAGUAACGCGUAGGUAACCUGCCUGGUAGCGGGGGAUAACUAUUGGAAACGAUAGCUAAUACCGCAUGACAACAGUUAUUGCAUGAUAACUGUUUAAAAGGGGCAACUGCUCCACUACCAGAUGGACCUGCGUUGUAUUAGCUAGUUGGUGAGGUAACGGCUCACCAAGGCGACGAUACAUAGCCGACCUGAGAGGGUGAUCGGCCACACUGGGACUGAGACACGGCCCAGACUCCUACGGGAGGCAGCAGUAGGGAAUCGUCGGCAAUGGACGGAAGUCUGACCGAGCAACGCCGCGUGAGUGAAGAAGGGUUUCGGAUCGUAAAGCUCGGUUGUAAGAGAAGAACGAGUGUGAGAGUGGAAAGUUCACACUGUGACGGUAUCUUACCAGAAAGGGACGGCUAACUACGUG